UAGGGAAUUUUGGGCAAUGGGCGAAAGCCUGACCCAGCAACGCCGCGUGUGGGAUGAAGGCCCUCGGGUCGUAAACCACUGUCAGGAGGAAAGAAAAGUCGGCCGGAUGAUACUCGGUCGACCUGACGGUACCUCCAAAGGAAGCACCGGCUAACUCCGUGCCAGCAGCCGCGGUAAUACGGAGGGUGCAAGCGUUGUUCGGAAUUACUGGGCGUAAAGCGCGUGUAGGUGGUCGAGUAAGUCGAAUGUGAAAGCCCCGGGCUCAACCCGGGAAGUGCAUCCGAAACUGCUCGACUAGAGUCCCGGAGAGGAAGGCAGAAUUCCCAAUGUAGGGGUGAAAUCCGUAGAUAUUGGGAGGAAUACCGGUGGCGAAGGCGGCCUUCUGGACGGUGACUGACACUCAGACGCGAAAGCGUGGGUAGCAAACAGGAUUAGAUACCCAAGUAGUCCCUG
rnacentral:rRNA from 1 species